AGAGUUUGAUUCUGGCUCAGAACGAACGCUGGCGGCGUGGAUAAGACAUGCAAGUCGAACGGGACAUUGUUUGUAGCAAUACACGCAAUGUCUAGUGGCGUAAGGGUGCGUAACACGUGGGCAAUCUGCCGAGAUGUGGGGGAUAGCUCGCCGAAAGGCGAAUUAAUACCGCAUGUGGUUAGUGUUGGACUCAACACAAUACCAAAGCCGGGGCAACCUGGCGCAUCUUGAUGAGCCCGCGGCCUAUCAGCUAGUUGGUGAGGUAAUGGCUCACCAAGGCUAUGACGGGUAGCUGGUCUGAGAGGACGACCAGCCACACUGGAACUGAGACACGGUCCAGACACCUACGGGUGGCAGCAGUCGAGAAUUUUUCUCAAUGGGCGAAAGCCUGAAGGAGCGACGCCGCGUGGAGGAUGAAGGUCUUCGGAUUGUAAACUCCUGUCAUUAGGGAACAAAACUUACGGUUAACUGCCGUGGAGUCUGAUAGUACCUGAAGAGGAAGAGACGGCUAACUCUGUGCCAGCAGCCGCGGUAAUACAGAGGUCUCAAGCGUUGUUCGGAUUCAUUGGGCGUAAAGGGUGCGUAGGCGGCGGGGUAAGUCGGAUGUGAAAUCCCAGGGCUCAACCCUGGAACUGCAUUCGAUACUGCCUUGCUAGAGUACUGGAGAGGAGACUGGAAUUUACGGUUAGCAGUGAAAUGCGUAGAUAUCGUAAGGAAGACCAGUGGCGAAGGCGAGUCCCUGGACAGUUACUGACGCUGAGGCACGAAGGCCAGGGGAGCAAACGGGAUUAGAUACCCCGGUAGUCCUGGCAGUAAACGGUGCACGUUUGGUGUGGGAGGAUUCGACCCCUUCCGUGCCGGAGCUAACGCGUUAAACGUGCCGCCUGGGGAGUACGGUCGCAAGAUUAAAACUCAAAGAAAUUGACGGGGGCCCGCACAAGCGGUGGAGUAUGUGGCUUAAUUCGAUCCACGCGAAGAACCUUACCUAGCCUUGACAUGCAUCUCUAAGUCGGUGAAAGCCGGCGACUAUAGCAAUAUAGAAUUUGCACAGGUGCUGCAUGGCUGUCGUCAGCUCGUGUCGUGAGAUGUUGGGUUAAGUCCCGCAACGAGCGCAACCCCUGUGAACUGUUGCCACCGGCCUUCGGGCCGAGCACUCUGUUCAGACUGCCCUGUGAAACGGGGAGGAAGGUGGGGAUGACGUCAAGUCAGCAUGGCCCUUACGGCUAGGGCUGCACACGUACUACAAUGCUCAGCACAGAAUGAACCGAUACCGCGAGGUGGAGGAAAUCUCUAAAACUGAGCCCAAUUCGGAUUGAAGGCUGCAACUCGCCUUCAUGAAGCCGGAAUCGCUAGUAAUGGCGCAUCAGCUACGGCGCCGUGAAUACGUUCCCGGGCCUUGUACACACCGCCCGUCACAUCAUGGAAGUUACUUGUACCCGAAGUGCAUGCGCCAACCGCAAGGAGGCAGUGCCCUAAGGUAUGAGUGGUAACUGGGAUGAAGUCGGAACAAGGUA
rnacentral:rRNA from 1 species